rnacentral:misc_RNA from 1 species
AAGUCGUAACAAGGUUUCCGUAGGUGAACCUGCGGAAGGAUCAUUCACAAACGAGUGUUUUAUGGCACUCUUUAAAAAUCCAUAUCCACCUUGUGUGCAAACAAUGGAAGAGAAGAGAAAAUUGGAUUCUUUUUUUAGUAUCCAACUUCUCUAUCAGUUUUUAUAAACUCCAUCAAAUUUUAAUUAAAAACAAUUUUUUUUAAUAAAAAACAUUAUACAACUUUCAACAACGGAUCUCUUGGCUCUC